rnacentral:rRNA from 1 species
GACGAACGCUGGCGGCGUGCCUAAUACAUGCAAGUCGAGCGGACCGAACAGGAGCUUGCUCUUGUUCGGUUAGCGGCGGACGGGUGAGUAACACGUGGGUAACCUGCCCGUAAGACCGGGAUAACUCCGGGAAACCGGAGUUAAUACCGGAUAACACCGAAGACCGCAUGGUCUUUGGUUGAAAGGCGGCUUCGGCUGCCACUUACGGAUGGGCCCGCGGCGCAUUAGCUAGUUGGUGAGGUAACGGCUCACCAAGGCGACGAUGCGUAGCCGGCCUGAGAGGGUGACCGGCCACACUGGGACUGAGACACGGCCCAGACUCCUACGGGAGGCAGCAGUAGGGAAUCUUCCGCAAUGGACGAAAGUCUGACGGAGCGACGCCGCGUGAGCGAAGAAGGUCUUCGGAUCGUAAAGCUCUGUUGUUAGGGAAGAAGAAGCGUCGUUCGAACAGGGCGGCGCGGUGACGGUACCUAACGAGAAAGCCCCGGCUAACUACGUG